rnacentral:misc_RNA from 1 species
GAUGAAGAACGUAGUGAAAUGCGAUAAGUAAUGUGAAUUGCAGAAUUCAGUGAAUCAUCGAAUCUUUGAACGCACAUUGCGCCCGCCAGUAUUCUGGCGGGCAUGCCUGUUCGAGCGUCAUUUCAACCAUCAAGCCCUGCUUGCGUUGGGGUCCUGCGGCUGCCCGCAGGCCCUGAAAACCAGUGGCGGGCUCGCUAGUCACACCGAGCGCAGUAAUACAUCUCGCUUUGGGCGUGCGGCGGGUUCUUGCCGUUAAACACCCCCUUUUUACCAAGGUUGACCUCGGAUCAGGUAGGGAUACCCGCUGAACUUAAGCAUAUCAAUAAGCGGAGGA